rnacentral:rRNA from 1 species
GACGAACGCUGGCGGCGUGCUUAACACAUGCAAGUCGAGCGGUAAGGCCCUUUCGGGGGUACACGAGCGGCGAACGGGUGAGUAACACGUGGGUGACCUGCCUCUAGCUCUGGGAUAAGCCCGGGAAACUGGGUCUAAUACUGGAUAUGACUCCAUGACGCAUGUUGUGGGGUGGAAAGCCUUGUGCGGCUAGAGAUGGGCCCGCGGCCUAUCAGCUUGUUGGNGGGGUGAUGGCCUACCAAGGCGACGACGGGUAGCCGGCCUGAGAGGGCGACCGGCCACACUGGGACUGAGACACGGCCAGACUCCUACGGGAGGCAGCAGUGGGGAAUCUUGCGC